UAAACAUAGAUGGUACCCUACACCCACCAUCCGCCUGGGAACUACGAGCACCAGCUUAAAACCCAAAGGACUUGGCGGUGCUUAAGAUCCACCUAGAGGAGCCUGUUAUAUAACCGAUAAUCCCCGUUAAACCUCACCCCCUCUUGCCCAUUCCGUCUAUAUACCGCCGUCGUCAGCUUACCCUUUGAAGGAAACAACGUAAGCAAAACUGGCAAAACCUAAAACGUCAGGUCGAGGUGUAGCAUAUGAGGGGGGAAACAUUAUGGGCUACAUUCACUAUAGUAGUGAAUCACGGAGAAUGCUGCUGAAACGCACAUCUGAAGGAGGAUUUAGCAGUAAGUAGGAACUAGAGUGUCCCACUGAAACCGGCCCUGAAGCGCGCACACACCGCCCGUCACUCUCCCCAAGCUGAGCCUUAUUACAUAACUAAUACCUAACACCUGCAUAAGGGGAGGCAAGUCGUAACAUGGUAAGUGUACCGGAAGGUGCACUUGGAACAACCAGGGUGUGGCUAAGACAAGAACAAGCGUCUCCCUUACACUGAGAAGUCAUCCGUGCAAACCGGAUCACCCUGAAAACCUAAUAGCUAGCCCUAUCAACAAAAACCAACAACCCACAAUAAACACCCCCUAACACACUAUAACCCGCACACUAAAGCAUUUUACCAUCCUAGUAUGGGCGACAGAAAAGAAAACUAGGCGCAAUAGAAAAAGUACCGCAAGGGAACGCUGAAAAAGAAAUGAAACAACUCAACAAAGUCAAAAAAAGCAGAGAUUUAACCUCGUACCUUUUGCAUCAUGUUUUAGCAAGACAAACCAAGCAAAGAGCCCUUCAGUUUGUUACCCCGAAACUAAGUGAGCUACUCCAAGACAGCCUAUUAAAGGGCCAACCCGUCUCUGUGGCAAAAGAGUGGGAAGAGCUUCGAGUAGAGGUGAUAAACCUACCGAACUUAGUUAUAGCUGGUUGCCUAAAAAUUGAAUACAAGUUCAGCCCCUCAGCUUCUCAACUCCACCACACCUAAUCCCCCCCAGACGCCAUAGAAACUGAGAGAGUUAGUCAAAGGAGGAACAGCCCCUUUGACCCAAGACACAGCUUUUUAAGGAAGAUAAAGAUCAUACAACACCAAGGAAUUUGUUCUAGUGGGCCUAAAAGCAGCCACCUAAACAGAAAGCGUUAAAGCUCAAACACACUAACCUCCCCUAUAAUUCCGAUAACCCUGUCUUAAUCCCCUACCAUUAUUAGGCCGCUCCAUGCCAACAUGGAGGCGAUAAUGCUAAUAUGAGUAAUAAGAGAGCACGCCUCUCUCCCAGCAUACGUGUAACCUGGUACGGACCCCCCACCAGGCACUAACGGCCCCAAACAAAGAGGGUAAUGAACCAUAACAAAAACAACCAGAAGAACCUCCAAACAUAAACCGUUAAUCCCACACCGGCAUGCAAAUAAGGAAAGACUAAAAGAAAAAGAAGGAACUCGGCAAACACAAGCCUCGCCUGUUUACCAAAAACAUCGCCUCUUGCCAAAACCAAAAUAUAAGAGGUCCCGCCUGCCCUGUGACAACAAGUUUAACGGCCGCGGUAUCCUGACCGUGCGAAGGUAGCGCAAUCACUUGUCUUUUAAAUGAAGACCCGUAUGAAUGGCAUAACGAGGGCUUAACUGUCUCCUUUUUCCAGUCAAUGAAAUUGAUCUCUCCGUGCAGAAGCGGAGAUGAACCCACAAGACGAGAAGACCCUGUGGAGCUUUAGACACCAAAGCAGUUCUUGUUAAACACCCUAAAACAAAAGGCAUAACCAAAAGAGUCCUGCCCUAAUGUCUUCGGUUGGGGCGACCGUGAGGAACAAAAAACCCUCUACGUGGAGCGGGAAAACUCUCUCCCACAACCAAGAGUAACAACUCUAAGCACUAGAACUUCUAACCAAACGAUCCGGCAACGCCGAUUAACGAACCAAGUUACCCCAGGGAUAACAGCGCAAUCCCCUUCUAGAGUCCCUAUCGACAAGGGGGUUUACGACCUCGAUGUUGGAUCAGGACAUCCUAAUGGUGCAGCCGCUAUUAAGGGUUCGUUUGUUCAACGAUUAAAGUCCC
rnacentral:misc_RNA from 1 species